AAUAGGCUAAUUAAGAGCGUAAGGGGAAUGCCUUGGCUCUCAGAGGCGAUGAAGGACGUGAUAAGCUGCGAUAAGCUGUGGGGAGUGGCACAAACACUUUGAUCCGCAGAUUUCCGAAUGGGGCAACCCGGCAUAUUGAAGAUAUGUCACACUGUAAAGUGAGCAAACCUGGUGAACUGAAACAUCUAAGUAACCAGAGGAAUAGAAAACAAAAGUGAUUCCGCUAGUAGUGGCGAGCGAACGUGGAACAGCCCAAACCUAUGUUGUUACGGCAAUAUAGGGGUUGUAGGACCUCAACAUUUAAUGCUAAUAGAACUAGAAUUUACUGGAAAGUAAAACC
rnacentral:rRNA from 1 species